AGCAGCCGCGGUAAUUCCAGCUCCAAUAGCGUAUAUUAAAGUUGUUGCAGUUAAAAGCUCGUAGUUGAAUUUCGGGAUCAAGUCGUCGGUCGUGCUCAGGUACGUACUGGCGUCAUUGAUUUCUCCCUUCUGACGAACCAUGAUGUCAUUAAUUUGGUGUUAUGGGAAAUCAGGACUGUUACUUUGAAAAAAGUUAGAGUGUUUAAAGCAGGCUCACGCUUGAAUACAUUAGCAUGGAAUAAUGAAAUAGGACGUUCGAUCCUAUUUUGUUGGUUUUAGGAUCAACGUAAUGAUUAAUAGGGAUAGUUGGGGGCAUUAGUAUUCAAUUGUCAGAGGUGAAAUUCUUGGAUUUAUUGAAGACUAACUACUGCGAAAGCAUUUGCCAAGGAUGUUUUUCAUUAAUCAAGAACGAAAGUUAGGGGAUCGAAGACGAUCAGAUACCGUCGUAGUCUUAACCAUAAACUAUGCCGACUAGGGAUCGGAUGAUGUUAAUUUUUUUAAUGACUCAUUCGGCGCCUUA
rnacentral:rRNA from 1 species